rnacentral:rRNA from 1 species
UACGGAGGGGACUAGCGUUGUUCGGAAUUACUGGGCGUAAAGCGCACGUAGGCGGAUUGUUAAGUCAGGGGUGAAAUCCCGAGGCUCAACCUCGGAACUGCCUUUGAUACUGGCAAUCUCGAGUCCGGAAGAGGUGAGUGGAAUUCCUAGUGUAGAGGUGAAAUUCGUAGAUAUUAGGAAGAACACCCAGUGGCGAAAGGCGGCCUCA